UGGGGGAUAUUGCGCAAUGGGGGGAACCCUGACGCAGCGAUGCCGCGUGGAGGAAGAAGGUUUUCGGAUUGUAAACUCCUGUCUUUGGGGACGAUAAUGACGGUACCCAAGGAGGAAGCUCCGGCUAACUACGUGCCAGCAGCCGCGGUAAUACGUAGGGAGCGAGCGUUGUCCGGAAUUACUGGGUGUAAAGGGAGCGUAGGCGGGAUGGUAAGUUAGAUGUGAAAACUAUGGGCUUAACCCAUAGACUGCAUUUAAAACUGCUGUUCUUGAGUGAAGUAGAGGUUGGCGGAAUUCCUAGUGUAGCGGUGAAAUGCGUAGAUAUUAGGAGGAACAUCAGUGGCGAAGGCGGCCAACUGGGCUUUUACUGACGCUGAGGCUCGAAAGCGUGGGGAGCAAACAGG
rnacentral:rRNA from 1 species